rnacentral:rRNA from 1 species
CCCUUAGAUGUUCUGGGCCGCACGCGCGCUACACUGAUGCAUUCAACGAGUUCCUACCUUGGCCGAGAGGCCUGGGCAAUCUUUUGAACUUGCAUCGUGAUAGGGAUAGAUUAUUGCAAUUAUUAAUCUUGAACGAGGAAUUCCUAGUAAACGCAGAUCAUCAAUCUGCAUUGAUUACGUCCCUGCUCUUUGUACACACCGCCCGUCGCACCUACCGAUUGAAUGGUCCGGUGAAGCCUCGGGAUUGUGGUUAGUUUCCUUCAUUGGAAGUUAGCCGCGAGAACUUGUCUAAACCUUAUCAUUUAGAGGAAGGUGAAGUCGUAACA